CCACUUCUCAAGAGUCCCACAAUAGGACGAAACGAUCGUCCAGUGC
rfam:Schistosoma mattheei strain Denwood, Zambia genome assembly, scaffold: SMTD_scaffold0005414